rnacentral:tRNA from 1 species
CCUUAUACGAUGAUUACUCACGAUGAGUGUCCACACAGAUUGAUGGUUUAUACAGUUUAAGAGAAAGAACAUCCCCCAAGAUGUUCAACUUAGUGUCCCGUUCGUCUAGAGGCCUAGGACACCGCCCUUUCACGGCGGUAACAGGGGUUCGACUCCCCUACGGGAUACCAUUGGGUCGUUAGCUCAGUUGGUAGAGCAGUUGACUUUUAAUCAAUUGGUCGCAGGUUCGAAUCCUGCACGACCCACCAUUCUUCUCCACGAAGAAUCAAAACUUAUGUGGGCGAUUAGCUCAGUUGGGAGAGCACCUGCCUUACAAGCAGGGGGUCACUGGUUCGAGCCCGGUAUCGCCCACCAUUCUCUAAGUAUUUUUGGAAUAAAAUUUCAAAACCAGAACAAGCAAUUGAUACUGGUUGGUUUUUUUGACGCCUGUGCGGCGCGGCUGAAAGUCUUUAGAAAAUGUAACUUCCUCGUGAAGAAACAUAGCUCUUUAACAAUUUGGAAAGCUGACAAAACAACAAUUUAUUGUUGUUUGUAAAGUUCUCAAAGUAUUCAUGGUAUUUGAAUACAACUUAAAACACAUUCAAGUGUUCCUGGCUUUUUGGUUUCACUUUUUAUAAAAAGUUAAAUAAAAAGAUAUUUGAGUCCGGCAAAAUCGAAAUGUCUCUCGCUCAAUCAAAUUAUGAGAGACACUUUGGUGUUUACAUCAAUUCGAAACUCCUUCGGGUUGUAU